rnacentral:snRNA from 1 species
GGAUAUGAGGGCUAUCUGGCUGUGACAUCUGUCACUUCAUCGAUCGAUAGCCAGGGUUGAUUCGGCUGGUCUGGCUGGCUAGGCAGGUGUCCUCUUCCUCCCUCACCGCUCCAGGUGCAUCCCUCCUGAAGCUGCACCCUGGUUCAAAGAGGAUGACCAUUCCUGCUAGAGGAGGACGGGUCUUCGGUCAAGGGUGUAUGAGUAGCUGCACUCCCUGCUAGAACCUCCAAACAAGCUCUCAAAGUUAGCUGAAUGAUUCCUGAAAGUCAUUGCAUUCCUAAUGGUGGCUAGUUCUGCCUUGACCAAAGUCAAAGGAGGC